rnacentral:ncRNA from 1 species
AGAGUAAAAGCGAGUUCGUUAAGUGCCUGCCGAACGGGGAGUUGUCGGCGGGACGAAGGCAUAACGCCGCGGUUCGCGCUUUGCAUCCCGCU